CUUCCGCUUCGCCGAGAUCCUCUCAGGUGCUCUUGAGGACGCGAGCGACUUCCCUAGGAGCGAACUUCCGCGGGCAGGGCCGCCAGAAGAGAUGCGGAAUUGCCUCCUGGACUGAAUUCUGGGGAUGAGGCCUGACAACAUCCCAGGUUGUAAUAAGUGGCUGCUCCAGGGAUGACAGCGGUUCAAAGAGACAGGGUGGUAUGAAAACAGUCUGUGAACUGCCAGUCUCAUGGACCCGAUUCUAGUGUCAGCUCUACCUGUCAGGGGUCACUUUUGCUCAGUGACUCUCAGUCCCCUCAUCUGUAACAUGCCUUGCUUAUCUUUCCCUUGGAUUUGUUGUGAGGCUCAAAAAUGAGCAAAUGUUAAAUAAAAAUGUGUUUUGCUAUAUAAA